CCGUGCUAGACGGCGGAGUAGCGGUCCGUUGUAACCCGAAACCCGCUCUAGCGGGGUUGAAGUCCCGUUCGAGGUUGUGCGUUGAUCGCCCGACAGCGGGCAGCGCAGCGUUGAAGGCCUGGUCCUGCGCGGCGACGACCUUCGAACCCUGUCAGGUCCGGAAGGAAGCAGCAGUAAGGAGUGCUCGUCGGGUGCCGCAGGGGUGCCGGGCCAGAGCCAGCGGGCUCGCGGCUGCGGCGGCGCGCCGAUCGACAACGGGUGCACGG
rnacentral:SRP_RNA from 1 species